GUUUCCUCAGGGACACACAAAACCACCGUUCCCAUAGCAACACUGUCUUGUGAUGUCAGAAAUCAGGGCUAGGCCUUGAAUGAUAAAACAAAAGCAUGUUGGCUAGCUGGCAAGGAAAGCGUGGUGAAAAGGAUGGUGCUAGGCUCCAAUGAGAGGAAGCACUGCGUCUGUACCUACACACCAUGUAAUUGUUUUAUACUUGAGAUUUCAGAGAAAACGAGAUAUUGAUUUAAGGGGAAGCCUCAAUGUAGAAGCAGUUGGAGUAGCUGUUGAGUUUGCAGAUACUCAAGUGCAACCACUAACAAAUGGUGUUGAAGAAUCCAGCAUCAACAUAUCUGCCAAGAUCUCUGAAGUGACUAAACUUAGGCACUGGAGGGGAUGCCUCUGAAUUGCUGCUGUCGGGAGUCCUCACACCUGUGCCAGGAGUGAG
rnacentral:lncRNA from 1 species